rnacentral:rRNA from 1 species
GAGGGGCCCCUCUCGGGUUACCGAAUUCAGACAAACUCCGAAUGCCAAUUAAUUUAACUUGGGAGUCAGAACAUGGGUGAUAAGGUCCGUGUUCGAAAGGGAAACAGCCCAGACCACCAGCUAAGGUCCCAAAAUAUAUGUUAAGUGGAAAAGGAUGUGGCGUUGCCCAGACAACUAGGAUGUUGGCUUAGAAGCAGCCAUCAUUUAAAGAGUGCGUAAUAGCUCACUAGUCGAGUGACACUGCGCCGAAAAUGUAUCGGGGCUAAACAUAUUACCGAAGCUGUGGAUUGUCCUUUGGACAAUGGUAGGAGAGCGUUCUAAGGGCGUUGAAGCAUGAUCGUAAGGACAUGUGGAGCGCUUAGAAGUGAGAAUGCCGGUGUGAGUAGCGAAAGACGGGUGAGAAUCCCGUCCACCGAUUGACUAAGGUUUCCAGAGGAAGGCUCGUCCGCUCUGGGUUAGUCGGGUCCUAAGCUGAGGCCGACAGGCGUAGGCGAUGGAUAACAGGUUGAUAUUCCUGUACCACCUAUAAUCGUU